GGCGCUAUAGCCAAGUGGUUAAGGCGAUGCACUCGAAUUGCUUCCGAGCGAGUUGAUAUGCAUUCCUCUUUGAGGGCGCAGGUUCAAAUCCUGCUGGCGUCG
rnacentral:tRNA from 1 species